GGACGAACGCUGGCGGCGUGCUUAAUACAUGCAAGUCAACUUGACUUUAGAUAGCAAUAUCGAAAAGUAGGGUGGCGCACGGGUGCGUAACGCGUAGGUAAUCUGCCCUGAGGUCUGACAUAACCCGUCGAAAGGCGGGCUAACAUCAGAUGAUAUAUAAUCACGACAUCGUGGAAAUAUCAAAUCUUCGGAGCCUUGGGAUGAGCCUGCGUCUGAUUAGGUAGUUGGCGGAGUAAUAGCCCACCAAGCCUACGAUCAGUAGCUGGUCUGAGAGGAUGAUCAGCCACACUGGAACUGAGACACGGUCCAGACUCCUACGGGAGGCAGCAGUAAGGAAUAUUGCUCAAUGGGGGAAACCCUGAAGCAGCAACGCCGCGUGAAGGAUGAAAUACUUUGUAUGUAAACUUCUGUAAGAUGGGGAAAAUAUUCUCCUCGGGAGAAUUGAUUGUACCAUCAGAGUAAGCCCCGGCUAACUACGUG
rnacentral:rRNA from 1 species